rnacentral:ncRNA from 2 species
UACUCACAUGGUUGCUAAUCA